AAACUAGAGAUGGGAACAGGACAGGACGCUACCAAAUCAGACUGACCCAGCUCCUCAGAGCGCCACCACCACCUCAACCUCAGAGAGAACGCAGGUAGCAGGGUACCAGGCAAACACUGGCACCGGCAAGGCCAGUGCCAGCCGACUCUGCACCUGGAUUCUUUCCGGUCCUUUUUUUUUUUUUUUUUUUCUGGUGCCAACCGACCUCCUUAACAACUCAGCUGAAAACAAAGAUACUGAAAACGGUUUACUAAACAUAUUUAUAAAAACAAGAUAGCCAUAAUUUGCAAAUAAUAAAUAGGGUGUUAGUGAAAUGUCAAAACUCCACUACUUUAUUAAAAAAAUAUAUGAAACAUCCAGGUAAGACGGUAGAUUGCGAACCAUGGCAGAACCAGCAGAGGACUAUUGUUUGGGGAGUAAAGGAACAGGAAUAUUCUGCCAUUACGUAUGAUUUUUAAGAUUUUUUUCAAUUUCAAAACAAAAAAGAGUAAAUGUUGUUUUGAGUACUGUGCGAUGUGACUCACUGUUUGGAGCUGGGUACAGACCGUAGUCACUAGAGCGAUGGGGAGUUAUAGGUCUGUCACCUUUCGUGGCUGCCUUUUUAAAACUACAGGGGAAAAAAUCGCUUCCUUCAGGACAUUUUAAAGAAAAUACAAUGCAAUUUUAUCAAUUUUAGCCUUCAAUUAUAUGUUAGAUCUCUAAAGAUGUUUUUAAGCCUGAAUAAUAUUUCUAUUGUUUGUGAGAGAAAAUCCACCCAUGACUCAAUGAACACAUAGGUGAUUGGCAUAUCCUGGCUAUCCCGAACAAUGCUACAAUGAACACAGGAAUUUGCUAUUUUAUAAGGUCCUGAUUUCCCCUCUUUUAGGAAGGCUGGGUCAUGUGGUAUUCUAUUUUUAACUCUUUUACAAACUGCAAUAUUCUUUUCCAGAGUGGCUGAAGAAAAUACUACUUUUAAGGAUAAGUAAUAUCCUUAAUAUUUUUCAAGUAUUACAAAGAGAGGUACAGUCCAAUAGGAUGAGGAUCACCAUUCAAGAUAACCAACUGAAUACAGGACAGAUAUUCACCUUUUCUUCCUCCCAGAGUCCACCAAAAUAACAAAAGAAAUCCAAAUUACCAAGACAAAUCCAUAAGCUGUUCCUGCGAGCCAGAACCUUGCCCACGAGAAGCCCAGACUGUGAUGAACUUACAGAUAAAGCAGGAGGGAAGCGAUUGGUGCCAAGCCCUGUAGAUGCCAACUAACUACUCAACGCCAGCAGAGCAGACUCAGAAGUUACUACCCGGAAGCGCUGAGGAGUCCCAGGCCAGCAGGAGAACCAGACAAGGGGUUGUUGGGGGCUGAGAGCCCACAACUGGUUCUUCCCAAGAUUGUGUUUCUUCUGUGGUAGUAGCCCAGGAGGUGCUGGGGCCCCCACUGUUGACUUUUAUAAGAGAGUUGUGGGUCCCCUGGAUCUGGACUUUCAGAAGGUUGCGAGCUGCCUGAUGCGGAUGCUGAGAACCAAACUUGGAUGUUCUGGAAGAGCACUCUUAACAGCGGAGCCAUCUCUCCAGCCACUGUAAGGAGCAUUUAUAUGUUUGAAAGUACUAGAAGCCAGGUACCCUCGGGCCUCUUGUCCCUAAAGGCUAAUGGCCUCCCACGGCUCUGAGUAAAGGCCUAGAUACAACAUCGGACAGAGGGACCAGUGGAAUAAUGGACAACUUGCCCUGAGUCCAGGCUCCACGUGCACAUCACAGCCUCAAAGACCAGAAAAUUACCAGCAAGACUGAAGGGUGCUGAGUCCAGAUGCCAACAGCCCAGGUGUCCAGCGAGCACACAGCUAUGGGAUGCAAAAGCCUGAGAGUGGUGCCCGGGGCAGCAGGUGGCACCCUGAGUUGCCUUGCUGUGGCACAGGAGGUCACUCUGACACUUUUAAAGACUGGUCAGACCACAGAAGGUGCCACAUCCUCUGUGCCCUGCUAGCAAACUGGGGUUCAGUCCAUAUGCGUUCACAGCCUGAGGGUUUCUGCUCCUACAUCUGGUCAGAACUUGCAAAAGCAUCCUUGCUAACCAUCAUCACAACCUAGAAGGGUCGUUCUUAGAAGAAUAAGGGUCAGGAGACAUGGUGGAUGAUUCUGGGAAUCUCAAAGAAGUGGUAUCAGGGAAACACAGGCCUAAGAGCUGGAAUUCAGACUUGUUUGAAAUCCUGGUAUCAGGGAUUUCAGAUCUAUAUGUUCAUCCAUAUCAUUUGUUCUCUCUCUGGCAUACUGCUCUCCAGCUCUGUCCCUGCAUUAGAAGGAAGAUAGAAAAAGAACUCUCUCUCUCUCUCUCUCUCUCUCUCUCUCUCUCUCUCUCUCUCUCUCUCUCUUUCUCUCUCUCUCUCUCUGUGUGUGUGUAUUAUACAUAGGCUUUCAUCUAUAAAAAGAACUGCAUAUACAAAAAUAUAUAGGCAUUUAUAUAUAAAGGAUUGUAGAUAUGUGUCUAUGCAUAUGCAUAUCUUUACAUAUGUUACCAUAUAUCUCUCUGUAUAUUAACAUCUAUCUUUAACUGUGUACCUUUGCUAAGUCUUACUCAAUUCCUUCACAAUGGAUACCACUCAGUAAUUACUCUGCACACACCUCCCGUUUGUGUCAACACCCUCCAUCUCCCGUGGGAUAUCUCCAGGCAGACAGGGAGCUGGGACUGCACUGUACUCGCUGAGAUGCUGGUUUCAGGGACCUAGAGCUCCUGGGAUUUAAGACCAUAGGCCAGGAAUACAGCCCUGGGCCUGAGUCACUGCAAAUGGGGCAGGGAACCAGGACACCCAGAGUGACUACCUACUUAAUAACCCAUGGAGACAUGGACCCGUGCUUCCUUGAGACUUUAUAAUCUUAGGCCCAUGGUCACAAGAGUUCCCACUAGCUAUAGUGGCUUUGAAUAGACUCAUGUGCAUGGGGCAAACCUUACACCCUAGGAGUCCCUGUGUUUCUCCUCAGAGUCAGCAUGGACUUUCGUAGGACUGUGGAGCAGAGGCAAGGUCGCAUCUAUGCUCUCUCUCACUGACAUAGCCUCUUACCUGCUCCCUCCAUGCACAAGACAACAGCCAGACCAGCAACAGCUCCUUGAUCCUCCACCGUCUCAUCCCACCCUGCUCCAGAUGUCUGGGCCAGAUGUUUAGCUCCAUGAUGAAGGUUUGAUGUCACCAAGGUGUGGAGAGCUUUUGGGGGCCACUUGGCAGGAAUCUGACAUUAGGUUAGAACAGGGAAGUAAGUUCAGGCAGGAAUCUAACUUUAGGCUGGAACAAAGAAGUAGGCUUCAGGCAGGAAUCUGAUUUGGGGCUUGGACAAAGAAGUAGGCUCAGAUAUCUUGUUCAUCCCAACAAGCCCUCAGAAACAGCGAUCACAGGAGUGACCACGGGACUCUGCUUACUGCCUUGCUUGUUCCUUCUUGUACUGCUCGCCCUUAUUACUUGGAUGUAAUUAAAAUGGUAUAAAAGUGGAUUGGGAAAAAAUAAACCAGCCUUCAGUCUCAGAACUGAAUGGGGUCAUGC
rnacentral:lncRNA from 1 species